AAUGCGGAUAAUGACACCCGCACGUUUCGCUAGGUCUCACAAGUCAAUUACCCUAUUCACAAAUUUUCAAACCCUAUUUCUAACAUGGUUCGUUUGGAACGAAAUUUGGUAUCUUGGGGUCACUUCAUGCUAAGGGUAAGUGGACCUCAGACAAUUCUACAUGAAAGGCUAAUGUAGAAGUCAUUAGAAUAUAAUAAUAUGACAUUUGACUUGUCUGGUUGAUUAAGAAUUGAAAAGUUCAUAUCUUUUUGGCCCAAUUUUUUGCCAAUCAAAUAACUCUUUGGCACCAAACUUAAUGUACUCCCAUGUAAGCACUAUGGACCAAAACAUUUGUUGGUGGUUUGCCUCUAGAGUGAAGGUUGGGCAGUUACUUAUUUUUUUUAUUUUAUUUUUUCCAUCAAUCAUAUUGCUAAAAUUAUUAGUCUACUCAAUAAUCAACCACAGUGUAAAGUAGCCCUUACAAGUUG
rnacentral:lncRNA from 1 species